UGUCUUUUUGAAUUUAAUUUAAAGUCUAAUCUGCCCACUGAUUUAAAAUUAAAGGGCUGCAGUAAUUUGACUGUACAAAGGUAGCAUAAUCAUUAGUCUUUUAAUUGAAGACUUGUAUGAAAGAUUUGAUGAGAUAUAAACUGUCUCUUAUUUAUAAUUAAAAUUUAAUUUUUUAGUUAAAAAGCUAAAAUAAAUUUAAAAGACGAGAAGACCCUAUAGAGUUUUAUAAUUUAUAAAUUAAAAUAUUUAUAUAAAAUUUUAAUAUUAAAUUUUGUUAAUUAUUUUAUUGGGGUGAUAAAAAAAUUUAAAAAACUUUUUUUUAAAAAUUUUCAUAAAUAAAUGAAUAAAUGAUCUUGAAUAAUGAUUAAAAGAAAAAAUUACCUUAGGGAUAACAGCGUAAUAUUUUUUUUUAGUACAAAUAAAAAAAAAAGUUUGCGACCUCGAUGUUGGAUUAAGAUAAAAUUUAAAUGCAAAAGUUUAAAAUUUUGAUCUGUUCGAUCAUUAAAAUCUUACAUGAUC
rnacentral:rRNA from 1 species